AUACGUAGGUGGCAAGCGUUGUCCGGAAUUAUUGGGCGUAAAGCGCGCGCAGGUGGUUCCUUAAGUCUGAUGUGAAAGCCCCCGGCUCAACCGGGGAGGGUCAUUGGAAACUGGGGAACUUGAGUGCAGAAGAGGAUAGUGGAAUUCCAAGUGUAGCGGUGAAAUGCGUAGAGAUUUGGAGGAACACCAGUGGCGAAGGCGACUGUCUGGUCUGUAACUGACACGGAGGCGCGAAAGCGGGGGGAGCAAACAGGAUUAGAUACCCUGGUAGUCCACGCCGUAAACGAUGAGUGCUAAGUGUUGGGGGGUUUCCGCCCCUCAGUGCUGCAGCUAACGCAUUAAGCACUCCGCCUGGGGAGUACGGUCGCAAGACUGAAACUCAAAGGAAUUGACGGGG
rnacentral:rRNA from 1 species